AGUCCCAUCAGCCAACAUAAGGCUAGGUAGAAGGACACCACAGUCCCAACAGCCAACAUAAGGCUAGGUAGAAGGACACCUCAGUUCCCAUCAGCCAACACAAGGCUAGGUAGAAGGACACCACAGUCCCAACAGCCAACACAAGGCUAGGUAGAAGGACACCACAGUCCCAACAGCCAACAUAAGGCUAGGUAGAAGGAACCCUGGUUCAAUCAGCCAACAUAAGGCUAGGUAGAAGGACACCUCAGUCCCAUCAGCCAACAUAAGGCUAGGUAGAAGGAACCCUGGUUCAAUCAGCCAACAUAAGGCUAGGUAGAAGGACACCUCAGUCCCAUCAGCCAACAUAAGGCUAGGUAGAAGGACACCUCAGUCCCAUCAGCCAACGCAAGACUAGGUAGAAGGACACCUCAGUCCCAUCAGCCAACUCAAGACUAGGUAGAAGGACACCUCAGUCCCAUCAGCCAACUCAAGGC
ensembl:lncRNA